rnacentral:rRNA from 1 species
UACGUAGGGGGCAAGCGUUGUCCGGAUUUAUUGGGCGUAAAGAGCGUGUAGGCGGCCAUACAGGUCAGCUGUGAAAACUCGAGGCUCAACCUCGAGACGUCGGUUGAAACCGUAUGGCUAGAGUCCGGAAGAGGAGAGUGGGAAUUCCCGGUGUAGCGGUGAAAUGCGCAGAUAUCGGGAAGAACACCUAUGGCGAAGGCAGCUCUCUGGGACGGUACUGACGCUGAGACGCGAAAGCGUGGGGAGCAAACAGG